rnacentral:ncRNA from 1 species
UAUAAGUAGAGGCGCACAUGACACUGGUAAAAGUUGGAGCAGCCAUGCAGUGAAGACUUUGAAGAGGGAUUGUGCCGAAAUUAUAGAGUUGGACACUCUAUUUUUGGGACUUGGCUUAAUAGGUUAAGUACUGUCAUGAAGUUCAUGAUGCGCUACA